GCGCUGGUGGUCUAAUGGCUACAACCCUUUGCAAAAGCGUUGAUGGAAAGCAUGCAAUGUGGCAUUUUCAGUUUGCCAUAAAUGACUGCGGCCUUCCAAGCCGCGUGUCCGGGUUCGAAUCCCGGCCGGCGCA
rnacentral:tRNA from 1 species